AACGCACUUCACUAUAAGUCGCUCUGGAUAAGAGCAUCUGCUAAAUGACUAACA
rfam:Salmo salar isolate Sally breed double haploid chromosome ssa16, whole genome shotgun sequence.